rnacentral:rRNA from 1 species
GACGAACCGUGCGAACGUUAUUCGGAAUCACUGGGCUUAAAGCGCGUGUAGGCGGGACGGCACGUCGGUCGCUGAAAGCCCCCCGGCUCAACCGGGGAACGGGCGCCGAUACGACCGCCCUGGAGGGACGUAGGGGGACCUGGAACUUCCGGUGGAGCGGUGAAAUGCGUUGAGAUCGGAAGGAACGCCCGUGGCGAAAGCGAGGUCCUGGACGUUUUCUGACGCUGAGACGCGAAAGCGUGGGGAGCAAACAGG